GCUAUCAAAGUAGAGAAGACUGUCUUCUAUGGUCACCGCUGACCCACUGGCCCCUACUUUUGUAGAUACAGGGUUUCACAUGUUGCCCAGGCUGGUCUUGAUCUCCUGGGUUCAAGUGAUUCACCUGCCUUGGCCUCCCAAAAUGUUAGGAUUAUAGGUGAAAGCCACUGCACCCAACAGUCUUAGUUCAUUUUUCUAUUUAAGCCAUAAAAACACUUCAAGCAAAAUAAUUAAAAAAAAAUAAAGUCCUGGGGGAAAUGUUACACAUUAAAGAUAGAAAUAUAUUGAUCUAGAUUAUUGUAAGCAUGUGGGUAUAUAAAUACUGAUUUUACUU
rnacentral:lncRNA from 1 species